CCGGACAGGAACGCCGUGCUCUCUGGUGCAUUGUGGGUGUUAGGCAGCGUGACCUACGAGUGUGUAACUGUGCACCUAGAUAAGAGCGAGCCGAAGGCUGGGAAAGGGGAAAGAAAAACCGAGACAGUGAAAGGGAGACAAAGGCCAUCGUCUGGUGUUGGCAGUAGAUGAGAAACUUGGUAAUUCGGUGGUUCUGGCUGAGUGAGAAUGAAUCAGAGAGCUUGUGGGGGGCGGUGCUUCAUUUGGCACUGAUUACGGUGACCUGCAUGCUGAUUGGUCAGGAUUCAGGCCCUUCACCAUCCUCUCGGGACUCCUGGGAAGCCGGGGGCAUUCUGCAAAAUGACAGGAAAAAAACCCAGACAAAAUCGAGUGCACUUAAAGGGAACCUCACUGUCAGAAUCACACGUCUGCCCAACCUGGGGCUUCUUGCCUCGUAUGAGGCUUUAUGCCCAACGUGAGCCGUCUAACCCAUCCUGGGGCUUCUUGACCUGAGGUUUUUUGCCCAACACGGGUCCAGCUGAGGCUUCUUGUCAAACCCGGGGCUUCUCAUCCACUCUAAAGGGGAUUUUUUCCAAACCUGGAGCUUCUUGCCCUGAGGCUUUGCCCAGCAGAAGGCUUGGACUAUGGAGCUGCACCUAGAUGUGUAUCAAGAGGAGGCUCACCACCAUCUCUAACCAUGUCCUUUCUUUA
ensembl:lncRNA